UUAAAGAAACAAAACUAUGAGUGACAACUUUGACUUUUCGGAGGAAAUUUUUUUAAAGCUAAGUGAAAAAAUGAUAUUCGGCAAUUGAAAUUUAUCGGAAAACUAUCGAUCUUCCUCGAUGACUGGCUAAUUCGUUAAGAUUUUCCGCCAGAUUCGCUGCUGACAUGUCGAAUUUUUAAGACGUCAGUGUUACAAUUCUCAUGUUGGUAAAUCCAGUAUAUUUUCUUACGGUUCCUCUGGCAAAAUCCACCUGACAUUCGACCUCCAAAUGAAACAUGGAAAACGAAACGAUGAUUCGCGAAGGAGGAAACGCAAUGUGCCUUGGCCGUCAGCGAAAAGAGGAAAUGUGCGCAAUCAGCAAAUAGAAAUUGAAAAGAAAGACACGUUCAAUUUCCAAGGUAACCGAGGCCAUAUAUUGUAUCUAAAUCGUUGACGUCACAAGACCUUAUUUGUUUUGUACCAGUCGUAGAUUAAGUGCUAUAGCGCUUAACUUAACUUAACUUACUUCCUAUAGGAAUACCCCAUUUGUGUCAUGGAUGAAGACAUAUUCGGUAUUUGAUGAAAUAAAUGAAUGUAUGAGCUUCAUCACUGUACGCGAUGUCAAAAUUACUGAAAAUAUUGUAAUCAAUUAUAAUAUUUCAAGGAUAAUGUUUGUUUUCUCAUUUGUUGUAACUUUUUAAGAAUUGAAAUACAGGUUUUUGAUAACUGCA